rnacentral:antisense_RNA from 1 species
AAACACUCACUCUCCCACAAUGGGAAGAACCCUGGUGUCCAGAGCUACCUCCUCCUCCCGAGGUCCCCAAGCUGGGCCAGGGAAGUGACUCUGGCUGUUAGCCACAGCCCACGCCUACCCUUGCCCUGUGAUUCAGACACCCGAGUUCAGAGCCAGCCUCCAAGAGUAUCUUACAUCCCAGCGUCUCCUGGAAGGCCGUAUGAUCCAGCACUGGGGAGAGGAGGGAAAUCCCCAGGACUCGAAUGCCCAUCCCACCCUCGGUGUAGUGAGGACUCAUCCUGCUGGAAAGGCCCCUGAAGAACUUCAAGUUCCAAUGUCCCGUUUUUACAGAUGGGGAAACUGACAUGAAGAGGAGUCCAAAGUGACACAGUCAGGCCAGAAAUGUUGCUUCUGAAGUCCUGAGUCCACCUCCUAGCACUGCCAAGCAGUCCACCUGGAGGUGAUGAGAACUUCCAGGCUUUGGUAAUGGACAACUCUGUAUCCCUGGAGCCUUCAUUCCUUUUGGCAUUACAGAACCACAAGAAGUCAUCUAGAAUCAUUGAGAUUCUCAACUCCAUUGGGCAAACUGGAACCAGCAAAAUCUCAGAUAUCUAGAAUUGCCACUGCUUCCUUGACUCUGUGAUCAGUCUACAGCCACAGAAUCCUGAUUCCCUUUGGACAUUCUAGAAUGGCACUUAAAAAAAAAAUAACAACCCACCCAGUGGAUCCUUUCAAAGCA